ACAGGAGGGGCUGCACCACCCUGGGGCGUUUUCAGGAACAUUGGCUCACCCUCUAUCAGUGUCAGUGAUAAUGCUGGGAUAAAACACCACAGGAUGCUUUCAUGAAGCAAGCCGCCAUGUUGGAGCAGCCCUCCUGGAAAAGAGCUGAGGAUGGCCUCUGGCCAACAGCCAGUGAGAAACUGAAUUCUGCCAACAGCCAUGUGAGUGAGCUUGGAUGCAGAUCCUUCCCCAGUCAAGUCUCAGAUGAGACCACAGCCCUGGAUGACACCUUGUCUACAGACUUGUGAGACCCAGAAACAGAGGACCUGGUUGAGCCAUGCCUGAAUGCAGAAUGCUAAUGCUAAUCACAUGCUGCUGCUGAUACUGAUACCAAUAGCAACACUAAUGCCAAUAGUACCACCAACGCCAGUGCUAAUGCUAGUACUAAUGAGUGACAUAUGGAAUGAUUAUCAACUUGGAUGUUUGAGGAUUGGCAGCAUUAGCUCCACCACUGCAGAGUUCUGAAGGGGAGCACUGUCAUGCCUGAUGCAGGGGGACCACGCUGGUUGGAGACGCUGAAAUGGAAGGGGAGGGGGAAAAGAAGAUCGUGCCCACGUCAAACCCUCCAGGUGAAAAAACAAAGCAAAUCUGAAACGCAUUUUGCUUUUGGAGUAACAAAAAAGUAAAUGGAG
rnacentral:lncRNA from 10 species